rnacentral:lncRNA from 1 species
GUUCAUUUUGCUUCAUUCCAUGCCUUAUUUGAGGCCAACACACAAAAUAAACAGCUCUUUUCACACCUAGACACCUCUCAAAAGAAAAAUGAUGUGAAGGAGGUGUACAAAAAUAAAAGGAAAUAAAAAUGUGAUAGAUAAUAAUAUGGUAAAAGGUGAAAAGCUUCUUACCAAAAAAGGGGAAAAAAAUAGAGCAUAAAAAUGUCAUGGAAAAAAGAUAAAAACAUACGUAAAAAAUGAUUUGACACCCUUGGUUGGAAAUUUUGCUCAACUAAUGCGAUAGAGUUAAAUUUGUUUGGACACUUGACGUGGGUUUAACAAACUCACUCACAUGUUCAAUUCAGAGUUUGUAGUUCGUGAUGAAAAAGGAAUCUAACGUACUGAUUUUGUGGAUUUUGUUGGCCUUCCAAUAUUUUUGCACCGAAAAAAAGUUCUUCAAAAGUUAUCUAAUUAAUGAUAGUGUACUUUUUUGAACAUCUUGAUCACACCAUAUUGAUGAAAUCGGUGUUGUUGUUAUUGCCUGUGUCACACACCAAUAAAUGUGUUCGACAUUGAACACAUGUUCAAUCUAAAAUAUCAAUGCGACAUAGCUUGUAAUAACAAACAAAGACAGAUUAGAGGGCUUCAUAUAUUACACAUACUAGUUGCUACUACAUGCAUGUUUUUGUUUCUAAUUGGUGAAAUACUACAUUUUAUUUGCUUGUAUUCAAGAGAGGAUUUAGUUUCCUUAAACAAAUAUGAAUUGGAUGAAUCCUGUUUGUAGAAAGCAAAUUCUAGGGUAAUCAUUUGAAAAAAUAUGUAUCUAUGUCGAAUCAGUGUCGAACACUAACAUGUGUCAGAAGCCGAACAUACCUUCAAUCUAAAAUGUAUGUGCUACAUAGCUUAUAACAAAC